AGGCUCAGGACGAACGCUGGCGGCGUGCUUAACACAUGCAAGUCGAACGGAAAGGCCCUUUCGGGGGUACUCGAGUGGCGAACGGGUGAGUAACACGUGGGUGAUCUGCCCUGCACUUUGGGAUAAGCCUGGGAAACUGGGUCUAAUACCGAAUACACCUUGCUGGCUGCAUGGCCUGGUGGGGGAAAGCUUUUGCGGUGUGGGAUGGGCCCGCGGCCUAUCAGCUUGUUGGUGGGGUGAUGGCCUACCAAGGCGACGACGGGUAGCCGGCCUGAGAGGGUGUCCGGCCACACUGGGACUGAGAUACGGCCCAGACUCCUACGGGAGGCAGCAGUGGGGAAUAUUGCACAAUGGGCGCAAGCNUGAUGCAGCGACSCCGCGUGAGGGAUGACGGCCUUCGGGUUGU
rnacentral:rRNA from 1 species